CAGUCGCCGCGGGAAUACGGAGGGGGCAAGCGUUAUCCGGAAUUAUUGGGCGUAAAGGGUACGUAGGUGGCCUUUUAAGCGUAGGGUAUAAGGCAAUGGCUCAACCAUUGUUCGCCCUAUGAACUGGAAGGCUUGAGUGCAGGAGAGGAAAGCGGAAUUCCUAGUGUAGCGGUGGAAUGCAUAGAUAUUAGGAGGAACAUCAGCGGCGAAGGCGGCUUUCUGGACUACAACUGACACUGAGGUACGAAAGCGUGGGGAGCAAACAGGAUUAGAUACCCGAGUAGUCCCUGUCUCUUAUACA
rnacentral:rRNA from 1 species